GGUUCAGGGGCCGCGCUAGUUCCGCCCAUUAUGAGGACGAGCAUCGCCAGCACCACGCAGAAGAAACUGAAUACCUUCAUUGUUAGUUUAUGUAUUGGUUGUAGUGACCAGUAGAAGAACUCAACGAUGAUUGAUGGACUUCUCAAUCAAUAAGGAGUAUUUAUAGUCGCGUAUGAAGAUGUAGUCGGAUCUGUUCCCGAUCGGAGUCUAUUUUUUGGCGAAGAUAUUUCGUACACGGGCUUGUAGCGUGCAACAUUGGCAUAUCGGGUCGCACUCGGGCGUCAUCGGGCGCGAUCGGAAUUCCCGAACGCACAGGUGUCCCGUGACGUCACAGCAACAAGAUUCGCGCGCCGAUUUAACUUCAAUUUAGAAUCGAAAUUUUAGUUUAAUUUGUAUCGGCUGGUGCCUAGCGUCGCUUAUUCUUUUUUAGUUUAUACUUUAAUAUUGUACUCAUAUAUCUGAACAUUAUAGAUAUUAUUGAAA